CCUUGCAGUCGAGGGGUAGCAAUACACCGGCGCACGGGUGCGUAACGCGUAUGCAACCUACCUUUAUCUGGGGGAUAGCCCGGGGAAACCCGGAUUAAUACCGCAUAACAAAUUGCUUGGCAUCGAGUGAUUUUAAAAGAUUUAUCGGAUAGAGAUGGGCAUGCGUAAGAUUCGAUAGUUGGCGAGGUAACGGCUCACCAAGUCUACGAUCUUUAGGGGCUCUGAGAGGAGAAUCCCCCACACUGGCACUGAGAUACGGGCCAGACUCCUACGGGAGGCAGCAGUAGGGAAUAUUGGGCAAUGGGCGCAAGCCUGACCCAGCCACACCGCGUGCAGGAAGACGGCCCUCUGGGUUGUAAACUGCUUUUGACUGGGAAGAAAAGACUCCUUGCGAGGAGAGUUGACGGUACCAGCAGAAUAAGCCACGGCUAACUACGUGCCAGCAGCCGCGGUAAUACGUAGGUGGCGAGCGUUAUCCGGAUUUAUUGGGUUUAAAGGGUGCAUAGGCGGCUGAUUAAGUCAGCGGUGAAAGGUAGCAGCUUAACUGUUUUACAUGCCGUUGAUACUGGUUAGCUUGAGUUAACAGAAGGCAGAUAGAAUUUCUGGUGUAGCGGUGAAAUGCUUAGAUACCAGGAGGAAUACCGAUUGCGAAGGCAGUCUGCUGCAGUUACACUGACGCUGAGGCACGAAAGUGCGGGGA
rnacentral:rRNA from 1 species